CGUGGAGAACCUGCCGUAUACUGGGGGAUAACACUUAGAAAUAGGUGCUAAUACCGCAUAAGCGCACAGCUUCGCAUGAAGCAGUGUGGAAAACGAAAAGCUAAAGCUUUUGGUGGUAUACGAUGGAUCCGCGUCUGAUUAGCUUGUUGGCGGGGUAAAGGCCCACCAAGGCGACGAUCAGUAGCCGGCCUGAGAGGGUGAACGGCCACAUUGGGACUGAGACACGGCCCAAACUCCUACGGAAGGCAGCAG
rnacentral:rRNA from 1 species